rnacentral:rRNA from 1 species
AAUCAACGCUGGCGGCGUGCCUCAGACAUGCAAGUCGAACGAGAACCUCCCUUCGGGGAGGGGACAGUGGCGCACGGGUGAGUAACACGUGGGUAAUUUACCUUUGGGUGGGGAACAACAGCCGGAAACGGCUGCUAAUACCGCAUAAUGCAGCGGCUCGACAUCGAGACAGUUGUUAAAGCGGGGGAUCGCAAGACCUCGCGCCUGAAGAGAAGCCUGCGGCGGAUUAGCAGUUGGUAGGGUAAUGGCCUACCAAGGCGACGAUCUGUAACCGGCCUGAGAGGGCGGUCGGUCACACUGACACUGACAUACGGGUCAGACUCCUACGGGAGGCAGCAGUCGGGAAUUUUGGGCAAUGGGCGAAAGCCUGACCCAGCAACGCCGCGUGAAGGAUGAAGCUUUUCGG